rnacentral:rRNA from 1 species
AUUGAACGCUGGCGGCAUGCUUUACACAUGCAAGUCGAACGGUAACAGGCCGCAAGGUGCUGACGAGUGGCGAACGGGUGAGUAAUGCAUCGGAACGUGCCCAGUCGUGGGGGAUAACGCAGCGAAAGCUGCGCUAAUACCGCAUACGAUCUAUGGAUGAAAGCGGGGGACCGAAAGGCCUCGCGCGAUUGGAGCGGGCGAUGUCAGAUUAGGUAGUUGGUGGGGUAAAGGCUCACCGAGCCAACGAUCUGUAGCUGGUCUGAGAGGACGACCAGCCACACUGGGACUGAGACACGGCCCAGACUCCUACGGGAGGCAGCAGUGGGGAAUUUUGGACAAUGGGCGCAAGCCUGAUCCAGCAAUGCCGCGUGCAGGAAGAAGGCCUUCGGGUUGUAAACUGCUUUUGUACGGAACGAAACGGUCCGGGUUAAUACCUUGGGCUAAUGACGGUACCGUAAGAAUAAGCACCGGCUAACUACGUGCCAGCCGCCGCGGUAACAC